GNAGGGAGCAAGCGUNGUCCGGAUNUACUGGGUGUAAAGGGUGCGUAGGCGGCUAGGCAAGUCAGACGUGAAAACCAUGGGCUCAACCUGUGGACUGCGUNUGAAACNGUNUAGCUUGAGUGAAGUAGAGGNAGGCGGAAUNCCCGGUGUAGCGGUGAAAUGCGUAGAGAUCGGGAGGAACACCAGUGGCGAAGGCGGCCUACUGGGCUUUAACUGACGCUGAGGCACGAAAGCAUGGGUAGCAAACAGGAUUAGAUACCCUGGUAGUCCAUGCCGUAAACGAUGAUUACUAGGUGUGGGGGGUCUGACCCCCUCCGUGCCGGAGUUAACACAAUAAGUAAUCCACCUGGGGAGUACGGCCGCAAGGUUGAAACUCAA
rnacentral:rRNA from 1 species